GGGAGGGAUGGAUUCUGGGGAGUCAAACACAACAGCAAUUCAAUGCAGACCCAAUCCAAAACUUCUCCACGUGUCUGUUUUAUCAUUAGAUUCUUAGAUGUGGGUUAUCUGGUUAGUGAUGGGAAACUGAUUUAAUUCAUUAAUUCAUUCAUCAAAUAACACACAGAGCCCUGGGGUGGAAAAGAGCUCAGCCCAUAAGAUAAGAGAAGAUGGGCCAGUGUAGAUGGGUCAGCGUGUGAGAGAGGGAGAGAUUUGGAUAAUGAGAUCAGCAAGCCCUUAAAGAUAGAAGAUGAGGUGAAUGUUUAUCCUGGGAGGUAUGGGAAGCCUUCAAAAGGUUUUCAAGCCACUUUCAAGAGAGUGGCUUGAUUGGAUGUCCGUUGGAAUAUCCACCUCCCCUCCUUCAGAAGCUUUGCUGUGACAAAUGGAUUGGAUGAGUCCAGAGCAGGAAGAGAUGCGUUGCAUGUGACCAUAAACAAACAAAUACAAAUAAAUUAAAAAACAGGCAGAAAGUUCUUCAUAGAACUGGGCCUUGAAGAACGUGUUUGCCAGCAGAAGAGAAUGAAGAAGUACGUUCUUGUUGGAGGGAACUGCAGGAAUCACAGUAUUUUGCCCUUCAGGAAGGCAAGAGGAAACUAAAGGUUGGUGACCCUUGACCUUCUCCAUAUGCCUCACAUGUCCAGCUCACAAGUGUCAGUUCAAGUUUAGCCUAAAGCUGCCUCCUUAGGUGUUUUCAGUGUGGUCUGAAGUGUUUUCUGUGCAUCGUGCACUGUAACAAGGGAGGUGUGAACCGGAGGUGAACCUACACUUGAGCCAGUCGCUGAGUUUUGGGCAGUCACAUGUAGCCAACGGGUCUAAUUGUGUUCAAACAAGGCAAACACUGAACUGUAAUCAAUCCAGCUGUGUCUGUACCUCACUUCUGUUUUCUGUAUGUCACCUACCUUUUUCUGUCCACAAAUCUUCCACCACAUGGCUGUGCUGGACUUUCAGCCUGCUCUGGCUCAAGGCUGCCUGAUUUGUGAAUCUUUCAUGGCUUAAUUAAACUCUAUUUAUUUUGAGAUGGAGUCUUGCUCUGUUGCCUGGGCUACAGUGCAGUGGCGCGAUCUCAGCUCACCACAACAAUCUCCGCCUCCUGUGUUCGAGCGAUUCUCAUGCCUCAGCCUUCCCAGUAGCUGGGAUUACAGACACCCGCCACCACACCCAGCUAAUUUUUUGUGUUUUAGUAGAGACGGGGUUUCAUCAUGUUGACCAGGCUGUUCUUGAACUCCUGACUUGAAGCCAUCUGCCCUCCUCAAGCUACCCAAAGUACUGGGAGUAUAGGUGUGAGCCACUGCGUCCGGCCAUUCACCUUCUUUACAUUUAAUUGGGCUGAAGUUCUUCUUUUAUCACAAGUCACAUCAAUCCCUCAGGCCCUGCUCAAAUGCCACCUCCCCCUGAAAGCCAUCGUUAAGUCGUCUCUCUAAAGAGCCACCCCAGCCCCUUUCUUUGCUUUAUCCUUCACGGCACUUAUCACUUCCUGAAAUUAUGCCACACAGCUAUUUACCAACUUGCCAUUGUGUUAGGCUUAUCAAGUAUGAAGCCAGACUGCUUGGGUUCAAAUCCCAGCACCACUACUUCCUUGCCAUGUGACCAUCACGUUCAGCCUAGGUUACAGUUUAGGGGUCAUAAUAGUACCUGUCUCAUAGGGCUUUGUGAGGAUAAAUGAAUCAGUGUGUGCACCAAUGUUCUAACGUUGCCUGAAUUUCCGUUUUCCCCAAAGCAGCCCAGUUACUUAUUAACAUACUGUUCUUUCCAGUAACCUGUGUUCACCGUUGUUAUGUCAAUCUCCUCGCUCUAUUUUGUUUUCCUUUGUAUCCCCAGUGACUAGAACAAUGCCUGUUGCAAAGCAAGCUUUGAGUUAAAAAAAUAAAAAAAAAAAGAUGAAAGAAUGAAAAUGACAGGCUGCCUAGCAGAACUGGCGCUUCACGAUGCUUCACUGUUGCUAUGGUGGCGAUCCAGUCUGCAGGAAGAUCCCAGCUUCCAUAACCUUGUCCCUUCCUGCAUCCGGCUCACCCAUUGGCCACCUGUGUGUCCCGCUGUAGCAGCCAGAAAACUGCAACUCCCAGCAGGCUGAGCGCCACCAGCACUUUCGCGCCUAGUCCCUUUGCUGAGAGUGAGCGCCUGCGCAGUAGAAUCCACUGGCCCAGAGCUCCAUCUGAGCAUGUGCAGGGGGCGGGGUGUUUCCUUUUUCGGCUGGCUGGAGAGGAGUGGGGAGGACCCGGUUACACGCUGAGCUCUCGGCUCUCCUUUUCCAGAGGGUCUGGGCACCGGGGCUGCCAACUCGGGGUGAGGAGUGGGGGCAGGAAACCUGCUUCGAUCUCCAUGGUUACGAGCCGCUCAGCGCGCUGGAGGAAGAUUCAAAGGAGGCCUUGUUGGUAGAAGGAAUGAAGGAACGCUGGACCAUCUAAACUAUUCCCUGGAUCUGGGACUCCCAGCCAAGCCCAGAAGCCAAGAACUCAUCACGGAAACCAAAAUAAGAUUGUUUUAUUCCAA